AUUGAACGCUGGCGGCAGGCCUAACACAUGCAAGUCGAGCGGUAACAGAGAUAGCUUGCUAUCUGCUGACGAGCGGCGGACGGGUGAGUAAUGCUUGGGAACAUGCCUUGAGGUGGGGGACAACAGUUGGAAACGACUGCUAAUACCGCAUAAUGUCUACGGACCAAAGGGGGCUUCGGCUCUCGCCUUUAGAUUGGCCCAAGUGGGAUUAGCUAGUUGGUGAGGUAAUGGCUCACCAAGGCGACGAUCCCUAGCUGGUUUGAGAGGAUGAUCAGCCACACUGGGACUGAGACACGGCCCAGACUCCUACGGGAGGCAGCAGUGGGGAGUAUUGCACAAUGGGCGCAAGCCUGAUGCAGCCAUGCCGCGUGUGUGAAGAAGGCCUUCGGGUUGUAAAGCACUUUCAGUCAGGAGGAAAGGUUAGUAGUUAAUACCUGCUAGCUGUGACGUUACUGACAGAAGAAGCACCGCUAACU
rnacentral:rRNA from 1 species